rnacentral:lncRNA from 1 species
GUCACGUGAUCCUCCAGCUCCGGUAUGGGAGAAAGCAGGGAAGGAACUUCGCUAGCGGAGGCUAGAAGGGGCAAGUGGAGAGAGUGUCUAUCAUGGUAGUGGUGCG